ACUUGUUCAGCUUGUGUCCGUUGCUGCUUUGCUCUGUUCCACCUUGCACUGGAUGGCUUGCACUGCAUUUAAAGUGAUAAACUGAAAGAUUCCAAGUGCUGUUCACUUCUCCAUGCAAAGAGGAUUCAAGUAAGUAGUCUUGGAUACAAAGCACAAAUAUAAUGGAUUUUUUUUUUUUUUUGCAAAACAGAAUGUUUCAAAGUAAUAUUUAGC
rnacentral:lncRNA from 1 species